rnacentral:rRNA from 1 species
AGAGUUUCUUUUUGGGUCGGGAUGAACGCUGGCGGCGUGCCUAACACAUGCAAGUCGAGCGAUUCUCUUCGGAGAAGAGCGGCGGACGGGUGAGUAACGCGUGGGUAACCUGCCUUAUACACAUGGAUAACAUACCGAAAGGUAUGCUAAUACAAGAUGAUAUAAGAGAUUCGCAUGGAUUUCUUAUCAAAGCUCCGGCGGUAUGAGAUGGACCCGCGUCUGAUUAGCUACUUGGUAAGGUAACGGCUUACCAAGGCAACGAUCAGUAGCCGACCUGAGAGGGUGAUCGGCCACAUUGGAACUGAGACACGGUCCAAACUCCUACGGGAGGCAGCAGUGGGGAAUAUUGCACAAUGGGCGACAGCCUGAUUGCAGCAACGCCGCGUGAAGUGAUAAAGGCCUUCGGGUUGUAAAACUCUGUCCUCAAGGAAGAUAAUGACGGUACUUGAGGAGGAAAGCCCCGGCUAACUACGUGCCAGCAGCCGCGGUAAUACGUAGGGGGCUAGCGUUAUCCGGAUUUACUGGGCGUAAAGGGUGCGUAGGUGGUUUCUUAAGUCAGGAGUGAAAGGCUACGGCUCAACCGUAGUAAGCUCUUGAAACUGGGGAACUUGAGUGCAGGAGAGGAAAGUGGAAUUCCUAGUGUAGCGGUGAAAUGCGUAGAUAUUAGGAGGAACACCAGUAGCGAAGGCGGCUUUCUGGACUGUAACUGACACUGAGGCACGAAAGCGUGGGGAGCAAACAGGAUUAGAUACCCUGGUAGUCCACGCCGUAAACGAUGAGUACUAGGGGUCGGGGGUUACCCCCCUCGGUGCCGCAGCUAACGCAUUAAGUACUCCGCCUGGGGAGUACGCUCGCAAGAGUGAAACUCAAAGGGAAUUGACGGGGGACCCGCACAAGUAGCGGAGCAUGUGGUUUAAUUGGAAGCAACGCGAAGAACCUUACCUAAGCUUGACAUCCUUUUGACCGAUGCCUAAUCGCAUCUUUCCCUUCGGGGACAGAAGUGACAGGUGGUGCAUGGUUGUCGUCAGCUCGUGUCGUGAGAUGUUGGGUUAAGUCCCG